rnacentral:rRNA from 1 species
UGAAGCAGCCAUUCUUUAAAAAAUUCGUAAUAGAAUACUAAUUGAAAACAUCAUGUUUAAACUCUUUUGCAUCGAAGAUCCAGAAGGACUAAAGAUAUCUACCGAAACUAUAAACUUUAAUAGUGGUAGCAAAGCGUUUUUAAAAUCAUAGAAAAUAAUUUGUAAAAAUUGUUGGAGAUAAAAAAGUGAAGAUACUAAAAUGAGUAGCGAAAAACAAUGUAAAAACCAUUGUAGCCGAAAAAUUUGAGGUUUUCUACAUAAAGUUAAACUGUGUAGAGUCAGUCGGUCUCUAAGAUAUUAAUGCGAAAGCACAAUUCGAUGAGGUUUUUUAAUAAAAACAAUAUAUAAAAUGACAGGUUUUAUUGAAUCAUAAAACAAAAAAUUGAUUAUUUUAUGAUGCGUAAGACUUCAAGAAAAAUUUUAUAUUUAAAAAUUACCGUACUUAGCCGACAAAGGAAAAUAGAUUUAAAGGAUCAAGGCUUUUGGGUUAAUCAUUCUUAAGGAACUCGGCAAAAUAAUUCUGUAACUUCGGGAGAAAGAGUGCCUUUUUAACUAAAGGUGGCACAAAAAAAAGGAUAGCGACUGUUUACUAAGAACACAAGACUUUGCAAAAUUGCAAAAUGAAGUAUAAGGUUUGAUGCUUGCCCAAUGCUGUAAUGUUAAAUGGAAGCGUAAAUGCGCUAAAAUGAAGCUUCAGUGAAUGGCAGUCGUAACUCUAACGAUUCAAAGGUAGCGAAAUUCCUAGCCACUUAAUUGGUGGCCCGCACGAAUAGCAUAACGACUUUCCUACUGUCUCAAGAAUGAGCCCAGCGAAAUUAGAGUCUGCGUGAAGAUACGCAGUAGUAAAAGUAAGACGGAAAGACCCUAUAAACCUUUACUAUAGUCUUGUAUUGUUAUGAUUUAUUUUUUGUGUAGCCUAGGUGGGAGCUGUUAUUAAGUCUUAACGCUAGUUAAUUACUGAAGCAUUCAUGAAAUACCACUCUAAAGAUAAAAUCUAACUAAUUAUUUUUAUAAGAAAAUGCAAGAUGUUUAGUUUAACUGGGGCGGUAGUCUUCUAAAAAGUAACGAAGAUCUGCAAAGGUAAGUUUAAAUUCAGUAGAAACGAAUUAAAAGGUAUAAGCGCGUAAACUUGCUUGAUUGGAAGAGAUACAACUCGACCAAGGACGAAAGUCGGCGCUAGUGAUCCGGAAAUUUUCAAUGGAAAAGUUUCCGCUCAAGGAAUAAAAGGUACUUUAGGGAUAACAGGCUAAUCACUCUCAAGAGCUCCUAUCGACAGAGUGUUUUGGCACCUCGAUGUCGACUCUUCACAUCCUGAAGCUGAAGAAGGUUUCAAGGGUACGGCUGUUCGCCGUUUAAAGUGGAACGUGAGUUGGGUUUAGAACGUUGUAAAACAGUUUGGUCCCUAUCUGCUUUUACUGUAUGAAAACUGAAGAGAUUUGCUUUUAGUACGAGAGGACCAAAGCAAUAUAACCUAUGGUUUGUCAGUUGUUUUCCAAAAGCAAGCUGAUUUGCUACGUUAUUUUAAUAUAACUACUGAAAGCAUCAAUGUAGGAAGAUAACUUUAAAACAAGUUUUCAAAAAUUAGUGUUAGACUAACACUUAACAUAGGCAAUUCGUUAUAAGUGGUAACACUUUCGCUAAAUUGUACUAAUUCAUU